rnacentral:rRNA from 1 species
AUUGAACGCUGGCGGCAGGCCUAACACAUGCAAGUCGAGCGGCAGCGGGAAAGUAGCUUGCUACUUUUGCCAGCGAGCGGCGGACGGGUGAGUAAUGCCUGGGGAUCUGCCCAGUCGAGGGGGAUAACUACUGGAAACGGUAGCUAAUACCGCAUACGCCCUACGGGGGAAAGCAGGGGACCUUCGGGCCUUGCGCGAUUGGAUGAACCCAGGUGGGAUUAGCUAGUUGGUGAGGUAACGGCUCAGCAAGGCGACGAUCCCUAGCUGGUCUGGGAGGAUGAUCAGCCAGACUGGAACGAAGACACGGUCCAGACUCCUACGGGAGGAAGCAGUGAGGAAUAUUGAACGAUGGGGGAAACCCUGAUGCAGCCAGGCCGCGUGUGUGAAGAAGGCCUUCGGGUUGUAAAGCACUUUCAGCGAGGAGGAAAGGUCAGUAGCUAAUAGCUGCUGGCUGUGACGUUACUCGCAGAAGAAGCACCGGCUAACUCCGUGCCAGCCGCCGCCGUAA